AGAACAAAAAGUGUAAAGUAAUUUUCCUCUAGAAUAAAACAAAUAUCAGGUAAUUCGUUUGCAUAACACAAUAAAGUUAUAUUGACUUCAUAUUAUCAAAUUAGCAAAGUGUUAGGCAAUGAUACUCAAGCGUUAUUAAACAAAACUUAUUUUUCCGAAUUGGUAUUUAAGCACACAAUAGAUCUUUUUUGGGCACAGUAUUCCUAUCAUUAUCAACUUCGAGGAACUAAGCAAAUAUCCCAAGAUCAAACUCACACUUAUGUAAGCUCUAUUACUACUUUACAAUACCCUACAACAUUACGCUACAAGCAAAACAAAAAUGUUGAGUUUACUUUUAAAGUAUUUCCCCCAAAAAUUUUACGCUCUAACUAAAUUCAAUAAAUUCUACAAGAAAAAAACACAAAUUUAUAGGUUAGUUUUAAAACACAUGUAUUUCCCCAAAAAUUUUACGCUCUCGAUAAUAACUGAGAUUGUACUCAAUAAAUGUUAUCAAGCUAUCGUAAUGAAUGAAAGAAAUGGAUUAGAUAUGUUUUGAAUCUCCGAAUUUCACAACAUGAUGUAAUUCAUUCAGAGCAAUAUCCUAAAACGUGUUGCCAAGUGUUUGGGAACCAUUGACACUUAUCUAUUUGAAGUGCCCGCAUACCUUUAUGAGAGGAAUACGACAAUUUACAACACCGCUAUAAACAAACCAUCAAGAUUAGGUUUGCAAAAUUACGUUUAUUAGUGUAAAUAUUUACCAAAAUGUUAUGCCCUCAACCCGUGCGGCUAAAACCGAAUCGACUAGAUUGAUAGUAUGCCAGACGACACCUUCAGUCACUUACCAGUUUUGUAUCUCGUAGGUUCUAUGCCGAUUGCGAUUAAUCACCGAACGGCCGAACAAACAUUAUCGAACUGCGCUGCACUGGCGAGAAGCGCCAACAUUUAUAGUCCCCGAGAACCACUCGAGAGUUACAUCAGCGGACGCAACUGGCAUUAUUCAGACCUGUACACCGAAUGCAUACAUUAAUAAAUUGACUUGGUCAGGUCAAAGCGGAGUCCGAUCCAGACGUCAUUAGUUGACAUUCCCUGCGAUAACUCAAUUUAAACUAUAAAACUAUCGCAGCUUCCAUCUGAAGUGCAUAAGCAAUGCAUCAUGCUGACAAUAGCUAUUAAAGAACUGCUUUAUAACAAAAAUUUAUCUUUACAAUGAAAGAGGAAGCUUAGAUAAGUAUUGAAGCAUCUAUUUGUUAGCUUCAUAUUCAUAUCUAGCUCAUGGCAAAGAUAAUAAGAGCUGUAGUAGUUAAGAAUAACAAUUAUAAAGAGAGUACACAAUUUGUAGAUUUGGAGUCCUAACAAAGUUUGCUUCGAAGCUUCCACUAUAGUCUGUGAACUACUGUGAAACCUAUUCAGCUAUUAUCUUAUAAAAGCAAGAUGCUGACAAUGCUGCAAUUUAUCUAUAACUACAACUAAGUUGUAUACUGAGAACUGUGAAAGGGGGUCAGUAAACCUGACGCCCCCAAGGCUGAACCUGAACUGAAUAGAACGCACGGUUCUGGUUUAAUAAACACACACACAGAUAGGAAGCUAGACUAGAAUUAUGGGUUGUAAAAAGUGGAAGACAUUAGCUUGGGUUUACGUUCGUGACGUAGCCCGUGAAUCAUGCGACGAACUUCCCCAUUGCGUGAACGUUUGAAUAAAUACGAGUAUAUUUUGUUUAGUGAAUAAAAGUGAAUACAUAAAUGAAUAAUAACAUAUAAAUCAGUAUGUGCGUCUUAGGCAUAGGUACAACGUGUAUAAGAGGUAGUUAUGGAGCUGCUCAGUUAACCAAAGAUGACCUUCCCUCCGUUCUAGUACGAAAGGUUGACGGCCUGCUGACGAUGGAAGAUCUCG